rnacentral:rRNA from 1 species
GAUGAACGCUAGCUACAGGCUUAACACAUGCAAGUCGAGGGGAAACGAUAUUGGAAGCUUGCUUCCGAUAGGCGUCGACCGGCGCACGGGUGAGUAACGCGUAUCCAACCUGCCCAUCACUUGGGGAUAACCUUGCGAAAGUAAGACUAAUACCCAAUGAUAUCUCUAGAAGACAUCUGAAGGAGAUUAAAGAUUCAUCGGUGAUGGAUGGGGAUGCGUCUGAUUAGAUUGUUGGCGGGGUAACGGCCCACCAAGGCGACGAUCAGUAGGGGUUCUAAGAGGAAGGUCCCCCACAUUGGAACUGAGACACGGUCCAAACUCCUACGGGAGGCAGCAGUGAGGAAUAUUGGUCAAUGGACGAGAGUCUGAACCAGCCAAGUAGCGUGCAGGAUGACGGCCCUAUGGGUUGUAAACUGCUUUUAUAAGGGAAUAAAGUGAGUCUCGUGAGACUUUUUGCAUGUACCUUAUGAAUAAGGACCGGCUAAUUCCGUGCCAGCCGCCGCGGUAA